rfam:Firmicutes bacterium CAG:534 genomic scaffold, scf100
GGGAUAGUAAAGGUUUCGACAGGGGCCUUGCAGCUGGAGAAGCUAUCCGCAGGCGAUGCGUCAAAUCGCAAAAAUAAAUAUAAACGCUGAAGAUAAUUUAGCAUACGCUGCCUAAUGGCAGCUGUCUGACCGGGUGCACCUACACAUCAGGACCCAGGCAUCAAUGAUGUAGGAAACGACACAGGCUAAGCUUUGCACCUGUGGGCGUAUCAUGAAGCUACUGAAACCGGAAGGAUGUCAGUCCCCGUCCGGCAGAGGGAAUGGGCAGAGCAAUCUGUCAUAAUAGACUGAAUAUGAUAGUAGAAGGACAGGGAAUGGGUCUUUGGACGCGGGUUCGACUCCCGCCUAUUCCACUA